rnacentral:rRNA from 1 species
GAUGAACGCUGGCGGCGUGCCUAAUACAUGCAAGUCGAGCGAACAGACGAGGAGCUUGCUCCUCUGACGUUAGCGGCGGACGGGUGAGUAACACGUGGAUAACCUACCUAUAAGACUGGGAUAACUUCGGGAAACCGGAGCUAAUACCGGAUAUAUAUUGAACCGCAUGGUUCAAUAGUGAAAGACGGUUUUGCUGUCACUUAUAGAUGGAUCCGCGCCGCAUUAGCUAGUUGGUAAGGUAACGGCUUACCAAGGCAACGAUGCGUAGCCGACCUGAGAGGGUGAUCGGCCACACUGGAACUGAGACACGGUCCAGACUCCUACGGGAGGCAGCAGUAGGGAAUCUUCCGCAAUGGGCGAAAGCCUGACGGAGUAACGCCGCGUGAGUGAUGAAGGUCUUCGGAUCGUAAAACUCUGUUAUUAGGGAAGAACAAAUGUGUAAGUAACUAUGCACGUCUUGACGGUACCUAAUCAGAAAGCCACGGCUAACUACGUG